AUUAAUUUUAUUUUAUUACUAAUUAAUCAUAUAAAAUAAGUGUAUCAGCAACUUCUGGUAAUCUAAAACUAACCCUUUUCUUCUGCUUGCAACUCUUGCUUCUACUCAUUGAAUUACCAAACCCCAUAACUUCACUUCCCUUUUCAUCUUUCAAGAGUUUCUCCAAGGUAGUAGGUGUAUAUUCACCAUUAUCAUCAUCAUCAUCAUUCUCCAUGAUUGGUGUUCUUAGAAGCCAUUCUUCUAAUGUUAAUAGUUGCUGAUGAUGAUGCUGCUGAAGAAGGUGCCUCUCCUUCUUCUUCUUUCUCCAAAAGCAUGUUGU
rnacentral:lncRNA from 1 species